AUGCUAAUCAAGCAUCCAAUGCCUUUAAGUCCGUCCGCUUUCACGCCGGCCACGGUGGUCAACCUCGCCCCGAGCGUCGACUUCUUCAGAUGCGCGAUGGUAGAUGCCUCGCUCCCCCUCGGAAACACCAUGAUGGACACAAUCGACCUUGCCCUGCCCACCGGCAUGGUCGCCAUUGCAAGCAUCACCUUCCCGUCUAGCCCGUGCUCGCCGACCGCCUCUCACACAACCCGCUCAACAACUACCCGGCUCCUGCUUCCAUGA
rnacentral:rRNA from 1 species